ACACGACACCGAAGCUGUGGAUCCGAAAGGAUGGUAGAGGAGUAUUCUUAAGUCGAUGAAGCUGUACUGUAAGGAGCAGUGGAGAGUUAAGAAGAGAGAAUGCCGGAAUGAGUAGCGAGAUUUAAGUGAGAAUCUUAAAGGCCGAAUAUCUAAGGUUUCCAGGGUAAAGCUGAUCUUCCCUGGGUAAGUCGGGGCCUAAGGCGAGGACGAAAGUCGUAGUCGAUGGAUAACAGGUUGAAAUUCCUGUACUGCUUAUGAACAGAACUGUGGGGACGCAGAAGGAGAGCACGAGCCGGAAAUGGAAAAGCCGGUACAAGCGUAUAGCAGUCACAUAGGAAAAUCCGUGUGAGAAAUGUAAAGCGCGAUGUGGAUCGAACAUUAGUAGAGAAGCGUGUGAGCCAGCUGCCAAGAAAAGCCGCUAUUGUUUUAUGAGUACCCGUACCGUAAACCGACACAGGUGGAUGAGGAGAGAAUCCUAAGGCCGGCGGGAGAAGUGUUGUUAAGGAACUCGGCAAAAUGACUCCGUAACUUCGGGAGAAGGAGUGCCAUAGAAAUAUGGCCGCAGAGAAAUGGCCCAAGCAACUGUUUAGCAAAAACACAGGUCUAUGCAAAACCGAAAGGUGAGGUAUAUGGGCUGACGCCUGCCCGGUGCUGGAAGGUUAAGAGGAGAGGUUAGAGCAAUCGAAGCUUUGAAUUUAAGCCCCAGUAAACGGCGGCCGUAACUAUAACGGUCCUAAGGUAGCGAAAUUCCUUGUCGGGUAAGUUCCGACCCGCACGAAAGGCGUAAUGAUUUGGGCACUGUCUCAACAACACACCCGGUGAAAUUGAAAUACCAGUGAAGAUGCUGGUUACCUGCGCCAGGACGGAAAGACCCCAUGGAGCUUUACUCCAGUUUGAUACUGGGAUUCGGUACUGUCUGUACAGGAUAGGUGGGAGGCUAGGAAAUGGUGACGCCAGUUGCCAUGGAGCCAACCUUGGGAUACCACCCUUACAGUACUGGGUUUCUAACCUGCAGCCGUGACCCGGCUGGGGGACAAUGUCUGACGGGGAGUUUGACUGGGGCGGUCGCCUCCGAAAGAGUAUCGGAGGCGCUCAAAGGUUCCCUCAGAACGGUUGGAAACCGUUCGAAGAGUGCAAAGGCAGAAGGGAGCUUGACUGCGACACCGACGGGUGGAGCAGAUACGAAAGUAGGACUUAGUGAUCCGGUGGUAUAAAGUGGGAUUGCCAUCGCUCAACGGAUAAAAGCUACCCUGGGGAUAACAGGCUUAUCACUCCCAAGAGUUCACAUCGACGGAGUGGUUUGGCAC
rnacentral:rRNA from 1 species